AGAGUUUGAUCAUGGCUCAGGACGAACGCUGGCGGCACGCUUAACACAUGCAAGUCGAACGGAGAACAUUGAGCUUGCUUAAUGUUCUUAGUGGCGGACGGGUGAGUAACACGUGAGUAACCUGCCUCUGAGAGUGGGAUAGCUUCUGGAAACGGAUGGUAAUACCGCAUAACAUCAUGGAUUCGCAUGUUUCUAUGAUCAAAGAUUUAUCGCUUAGAGAUGGACUCGCGUCUGAUUAGCUAGUUGGUAAGGUAACGGCUUACCAAGGCGACGAUCAGUAGCCGGACUGAGAGGUUGAUCGGCCACAUUGGGACUGAGACACGGCCCAGACUCCUACGGGAGGCAGCAGUGGGGAAUAUUGCACAAUGGGGGAAACCCUGAUGCAGCGAUGCCGCGUGGAGGAAGAAGGUUUUCGGACUGUAAACUCCUGUUGAAGAGGACGAUAAUGACGGUACUCUUUUAGAAAGCUCCGGCUAACUACGUGCCAGCAGCCGCGGUAAUACGUAGGGAGCGAGCGUUGUCCGGAAUUACUGGGUGUAAAGGGAGCGUAGGCGGGAUGGCAAGUCAGAUGUGAAAACUAUGGGCUCAACCCAUAGACUGCAUUUGAAACUGUUGUUCUUGAGUGAGGUAGAGGUAAGCGGAAUUCCUGGUGUAGCGGUGAAAUGCGUAGAGAUCAGGAGGAACAUCGGUGGCGAAGGCGGCUUACUGGGCCUUUACUGACGCUGAGGCUCGAAAGCGUGGGGAGCAAACAGGAUUAGAUACCCUGGUAGUCCACGCCGUAAACGAUGAUUACUAGGUGUGGGGGGACUGACCCCUUCCGUGCCGCAGUU
rnacentral:rRNA from 1 species